AAUCAACGCUGGCGGCGUGCCUAACACAUGCAAGUCGAACGCGAGAGGGGCUUCGGCCCCGAUUGAGUGGCGAACGGGUGAGUAACGCGUGGGUGACCUACCUUCGAGUGGGGGAUAACGUCCCGAAAGGGACGCUAAUACCGCAUAACAUCCUGCUUUUGAAUGGGUGGAGAUCAAAGCCGGGGAUCGCAAGACCUGGCGCUUGAUGAGGGGCCCGCGUCUGAUUAGCUAGNGGUGAGGUAACGGCCCACCAAGGCAACGAUCAGUAUCCGGCCUGAGAGGGCGGACGGACACACUGGGACUGAGACACGGCCCAGACUCCUACGGGAGGCAGCAGUGGGGAAUUGUUCGCAAUGGGCGCAAGCCUGACGACGCAACGCCGCGUGGAGGAUGAAGGUCUUCGGAUUGUAAACUCCUGUUGCCCGGGACGAAUGGCUCCGACCU
rnacentral:rRNA from 1 species